rnacentral:lncRNA from 1 species
GAGAAAUAUGGUUGCCAGUUAAAUACUGUUUUUGUUGGAAAGAGGGUAGCCUCAAAUUCUGGUUAUGUAUGGAAAAAGAAAAAGAACUAUGGGUAGAAGUGGAGGUUAUAUAGAACAAAGAUAGCAGUGAUCUCAUCAUCUCCCCUCUCCAUUCCUUAUUCCAUGCUCAAAACCUGUGUCAGCUAGAUCAUUGCAACAGUCUCCUCUCUGGCUUCCCUGCCUCCAGUCUUCCAUCUAUCCAAACCAUUCUCUGUGAUGCAACCAGAAUUAUACUCCUCUGUUGAAAAUCUUUUAAUGACAAUCCAUUUCUUUCAAAAUGAAUGCCAAGCUUGUUACAAUGCCCUUUAAGUUUCAUCACACUUAUGUUUUUCUCUCUAGCCUCAUUUCUCCUCCUCUUUUUGCUCACUGCUGUCACUGUCUUAUCCUCAAGAGCCAGUAAUGCUGAAAUAAUCAGAAUUCCUCAGUGUCAUUGUAUUUUCUCAUUAGCUUUGGGCUCUUUUCACAUGCUAAGUCUCUAAUAAUCUUUAUUUUUUAGAACAGUUUUAGGGUCACAGAAAAAUAGAGCAGAAAAUAUGGAAAGUUCUCAUUUUCCCAUAUACCCCCAUUUUCCUCACAUGUACAGACUCCCCCAUUAUCAACAUGCCCCACCAGAGGGACACAUUUGUUACAAUUGAUGGAUGUAUUUUGACACACAUUAUUUUCAAAGACCAUAGUUUAUUUUAGGGUUAUUUCUUGGUGUCAUCUGGUAAGAGUAUGAUUAGUUUUGUAAGAAACUCCCAACUAUCUUCCAAAGUGGCUAUAUUAUUUUGCAUUCCCACCAGAAAUGUAUGAAAGGUCCUGUUUUUCCACAUGUUCACCAGUAGUCAGUGUUGUCAGUGUUACGGAUUUUGGCCAUUUUAAUAGGUAUGUCAGGUAUCUCAUUAUUGUUUCAAUUUGCAUUUCACUUAUGACAUAUGAUGUGGACCACGGCUUCAUAUACUUUUUUGUCAUGUGUGCAUCUACUUUAUCUACUUUGGUGAGAUGUCUGUUAAGGCCUUUGGCUCAUUGCUUAAUUGAGCUGUUUGUUUUAUCAUUGUUUUAAGAGUAUUUUGUAUAUUUUGGAUAACAACACUUUGUCAGAUAUCUCUUUUGCAAAUAUUUUCUCUCAGUCUGCAUUUUGUCCCUUGACAGGGUCAUUUGCAGAAAAGAAUUUUUGAAAAUUGAAUAAAAUCCAG